CCUGGUGGCCCAAGUGAGGGGGCUGCACCCGAUCCCAUCCCGAACUCGGCCGUGAAAACCCUCAGCGCCGAUGGUACUGCGUCUUAAGGCGCGGAAGAGUAGGUCGCCGCCAGG
rnacentral:rRNA from 11 species